GAAAGAGGCAUUUGCAGGAAAGAAGGCCCAUGUCCUUCUUUCAAAGAUUGGAAAUUAUAAUUUAUAUUAUUGGGACAUCGAGAAGGUUGGUCCCAACCAGGAGCUUGAGAGCGAGGUAAUCAAUGCCUACCUCACCUUUCUUGUGAGGAAAUAUAAUAAAAGAAGUCCAGAAAAGGCUGGUGUCAUCGACAGUUUUUGCAUGACGGCAAUUUGGCAAGGGAAACAACAAAGAAUCCGAAAACUCGAUCCAAUGGCAUUCUCCAUCCUUUUGGGAAUAAUUAAUGAACAAAACCACUGGAUGUUGACGGUCAUCUACCCACACGAGAAGAGAUGCCUUUUUUUGGAUCCAUUGGGGGAAUCACAAAGGAACAUCAAGAGAUGCCUGGGGUCAACAAGUUUGCAGAGGAAAUAUUGAAAGGGCAGCAAAUAAACAUCAAGACGAAUCCUACGGCCGUGAACAAGAUGAGGCUUGAUAUUGCCACUGUCCUCCUCCGAGAAACAGAUGAUCUCAGCAAGUUCUGUCACAGCUGUGGGAUGGAGGAGAGCGAUGACCCUAAUUGGAUCCGCUGUGACAUCUGUGACAGGUGGUUUCACCACGAGUGUGUCCUGAGGCCAGAUCUUGAUGGGGAUUACCUGUGCCCUGCAUGUGUAUGAUGAUUGCCUUUGUGUUCACUUCAUUUGACGUUUGACUUUGUGUUCACUUCAUUUGUGUGACUUUGUGUUCACUUCAUUUGACGUUUGACUUUGAAUAUUUUAUAUAUAAAUUAUUUAACUAUG